rnacentral:misc_RNA from 1 species
CCAAAAAGUGAGAAAUCGCUUUCAACCUGCUCGGUGGCCCUUCUGGGCCGCUGAACCGGUCAACCCUCUGUGAACCAAAAAAACCUUUCGCUUCGGCAGCUGGGUCCCAACGGGCCCGUCAGCCUGCCGCUAGCACCAACCUUCAAAACCUGUUGUCAAACAUUGUCUGAUAACCAAAAUUUUCGAAUGAAAAUCA